rnacentral:rRNA from 1 species
AUGGCUCAGGACGACGCUGGCGGCGUGCUUAACACAUGCAAGUCGAACGGUGACCCAGGGCUUGCCCUGGUGAUCAGUGGCGAACGGGUGAGUAACACGUGGGCAACCUGCCCCUGACUUCGGGAUAACUCCUCGAAAGAGGAGCUAAUACCGGAUACGACCACUUCGGACAUCCGAUGGUGGUGGAAAGUUUUUCGGUCAGGGAUGGGCCCGCGGCCUAUCAGCUAGUUGGUGGGGUAAUGGCCUACCAAGGCGACGACGGGUAGCCGGCCUGAGAGGGCGACCGGCCACACUGGGACUGAGACACGGCCCAGACUCCUACGGGAGGCAGCAGUGGGGAAUAUUGCGCAAUGGGCGAAAGCCUGACGCAGCGACGCCGCGUGAGGGAUGAAGGCCUUCGGGUUGUAAACCUCUUUCAGCAGGGACGAAGCGAAAGUGACGGUACCUGCAGAAGAAGCACCGGCUAACUACGUG